CUUUCCUCCCUCUCAGCCACUGACCCCACAGUGCAGUGAGCCCAAUGCCCAGGGUGCUGCUUUGGGGAACCCCUCCUUGUCCCAGGGUGCCCGGGGACCCCCAGACCCAUCCUGCAGUGCUGGGGAUCAUGUUCGUGGAGCAGCGGGAAGCUUUUCCCGCUGCCCUUUUUUCAAGGAAAUUCUAUAUUACUGUUACUGAGAGGGUGUAAAAAAGAGAAACUAAGCCCUCUGGGGCACUGUCAUUAUUGUGUGCUGGUUUGGAAUAAAUGCUCCCCUUUCAGUGCUCAGGGGAUGCCUUCAUCUCCCCCAACCUCUGAGUAUGUUCCAUCUGAUGACCAUUGGAGUUCAGCCAUCGAUGAAUGUGAGUCCUCAGCAAAAACAGUGCAGGGGUCCCUUCCAGCUUGGGGUGUUCUGUGAUUCUGUGCUAUGAGAGAUGCUCUGGUAUGGGUCUGGGUUUGUCCAUGCUUCUCCCACCUUUAACAUCCAUAAAACUCCACUGGGACAUUAUCCGCCCAGCAUGUGAAUGUAUCAUUGAAGCAGUCAAGGAAGGAGGGAACACCGAAGUUGCCCAUGUCCCUGUGGGAAUGAAGUGGCUCCCAUCCUUGUAAAUACAUUUUUUUAGUGGCCACAACAGCCAUAGGGGAUGCGGAGGGGAUGGGGAAAACCCCAGCCGGGUCUCUCCCCUGCCAGCUGCUCGCAGGAGCUCCUGAGGUGUCUGGACAGGUAAUUAGUGCCUGGGCUGCAGGAUCCCUCCGUCAUCCUGCCCAGCACAUGCGAGGAGCGGCAGGGCUGGAUUUUUGAUGGCUGAUUUACCCCGAACAAAGGCCCCAAACAACACUGAACGCCCGACUCAGGGAUGGAAACUUUAGAGCCAAUGGGCUCCUUUCCCAUCAGUUAAAAAUAGUGUUAUUUUUUUCUAAGCUGAUAACAUUUUAAACAUUUUGUUAGACAGAGUUUUCUUGGGAGGCAGGGAAACCUGUGCGUUUGCUAUAAAAGAAACUUCUGUGGAUAAGGAAAUAUUUCCUGUGAACUCACCUGUUGCCAGCCAAGGAGAAAUGUUCGGUGUUUUAUUUCAAUCAAGAAUUCACUGCUAUCUGGUGCUUUAUCUAACCUCACUCUUUGGAAGAUUUGAUGUCACGCUUGGCAGAGCCCUCAGAUCCACGUGUCUUUAUGGGUGCUGCUCUGCUAAAACUCCUCAUGUGCUGGUGUACAACUGAAAAUAAAGCCUGAAAUCUGCACAGAAUGGGCAAACAUGGCCCAAAUUGGCCUUGAAUUUUUAAAGAGGAGUUGAUAUAAGCACCUCUGUGCAACUCUCCCAGUGUCUGAGCAGUGCCAGGCAGUGCUAUUUGCUGCAUAGGAGAGGUCUCUGCCACUGGUUUUAUUGCAUGUUGUAGACUGGCCCUUACUGUUUAACUUUACAUGGAGACUGAUGUUGAAGGGCGGCCUUAGCUUCUCAGAACCUGUAUAACACCAAUGGCUGCACGGGCCAACGUGUAAGCCCAUGCUUUGACCACAAUGGACUAUUUUUUUUUUCAAGUAAAUCAACUUUUUGCAAAUAGUGUUUUUUGGGGGGCAGUGUUUAGGGCUGCCCAUUGCCUCAGAUGGUGGCAGGUUCCAAGGAAGAUGCAACAAUGAUCUUCAGAGAUCCCUCCCAACCUUUAUGACUCCAUAACAACAGCCAGCUGGGAUGCAGCCUCUGAUGUGCUCACAACCUGAUCCACCCUGGCUGCCUGCUGUAGCACUGAAGUUGCCCGCAAUCAAGAUCAUCAGGAGCAGUUUCCAAGGAGACUACCUCCUUGUGGGUUGAAUCUUCAGCAGGUGCAUAUUAGCUCAUUUCCAGCGAAGUCUGCAGGCAGAAAAUCAACUUCUCUCUUGCCUGACCUUUUCUCACCUGCUUCCCGUUUUAUCCUCUCAUGGAUGCAACUUUCCCUGCAGGAAAAAGAGAUGGAAAGAAAUACACAAGAGCUUGGAUAUGUAAAUAACUUUUCCUGACUUUUCCUGACACGUUUCAAAUUUGGCUCUGUGCAAUUUGAUACAGUGUCACACUUGGUGCGUGCCAGCUUUGCGUCUGAAGUAAAAGAGCCGGAGAACUGUACCAGAUCAGACCUCCGAGGAAGAAGCUUUUGCAGGAAUCCAUGACCACACAGAAGGAAAACAGAGACAGCAACCUUGUCUCCCAAAGGUAUUAUGGGACUUCUCACCUUCCAAAAAUCCUGCUUGCACGGCUGCUUCAUUCCACUGGUUUCCAAGACUGAUGCUAUACCUUCCUGAUUUGCAGUGGAAGGAUUGUCAUCGCAGCUUGUCUGCACUACUCAAACGUGGCAUCAAAAUGGGCUCCAUGGAACAUCCUUUGCAUGGGAGGCGGCCAGUGAUGACAGCAAGCUUUAUCCAUCACAAAGCUGAAGAAAAGGAUCAAGGCGAUCCUUCUCUCUGCACUGAAGAGUGAGAGAAACCUUUGAUAAAACCCAAACAGGGAGAUCUCCACCACUUCCUUCUGCCAUAUGUUGAACUCUGCAUCCCUCAGUACCACGGGGAUGGUACUAUGCACCCCACAGACCCAAGGAAGAGCAGUGGUGUGACUGGAGAGGAGGAGCAACAUCUUUUGUUACAAGGUGGUUGAUAAAAUUAAUUGUACAGCUACAAGAAUACUUUUAUGUCGUGAUUACCAGAGCCACCCAGGAGUCUGUAAAUGAGAACUAAAGAGCAUGAUGAGAAAACCCAACUACAUUUGACCUGGCAUUGAACCACCACAUGCACCAGUCUUGUACAGUUCUAAGGUGGAAGAGUCUGGCAUCAUUUGCCAUGAAGCUUUAUAAAUGUCUCAGGCAUCCUUGAGAAUUCUGGGAAUUCAAAAGCCCAGACAGCAAGAAAGUCUGAAUUAAACAAAAGGAGAAUUAAAGGAGAUCCACAAUAGUCAGUAACUGCUGUAAAGAUUCUGUUUUAUGGUCAAGUUCUGCAACUACUAUCAUCAUCCAGCUACGGACAUCAGUAGGAGACUGCAGUAUUGCAAU